ensembl:rRNA 5S_rRNA 5S ribosomal RNA
GUCCACGGCCGUACCACCCUCAAUGGGCCCGAUCUUAUCUGAUCUCAGAAGCUAAGCAGGGUCAGGUCUGGUUAAUACUUGGAUGGGAGACUGCCUGGGAAUACCAGGUGCUGUAGGCU